rnacentral:rRNA from 1 species
AUUGAGCGCUGGCGGCAUGCUUUACACAUGCAAGUCGAACGGCAGCAUGGGCUUCGGCCUGAUGGCGAGUGGCGAACGGGUGAGUAAUAUAUCGGAACGUACCCAAGAGUGGGGGAUAACGUAGCGAAAGUUACGCUAAUACCGCAUACGAUCUACGGAUGAAAGUGGGGGACCUUCGGGCCUCAUGCUCCUGGAGCGGCCGAUAUCUGAUUAGCUAGUUGGUAGGGUAAAGGCCUACCAAGGCAUCGAUCAGUAGCUGGUCUGAGAGGACGACCAGCCACACUGGAACUGGGACACGGUCCAGACUCCUACGGGAGGCAGCAGUGGGGAAUUUUGGACAAUGGGGGCAACCCUGAUCCAGCAAUGCCGCGUGAGUGAAGAAGGCCUUCGGGUUGUAAAGCUCUUUUGUCAGGGAAGAAACGGUUGUGGCUAAUAUCCAUGACUAAUGACGGUACCUGAAGAAUAAGCACCGGCUAACUACGUGCCAGCCGCCGCCGUAACAC